CGAGUAGGUGGCUCGAUAAGUAGGAGGUGAAAUCUCACGGCUCAACCGGGAGGCUGCCUUCUAGACUGUCGAGCUCGAGCAUGGUAGAGGCAGAUGGAAUUCCCGGUGUAGCGGUGGAAUGCGUAGAGAUCGGGAAGAACACCAGUGGCGAAGGCGGUCUGCUGGGCCAUAGCUGACACUGAAUCGCGACAGCGGUGGGAGGACAAACA
rnacentral:rRNA from 1 species